rnacentral:rRNA from 1 species
AUUGAACGCUGGCGGCAGGCCUAACACAUGCAAGUCGAGCGGAGCGUCGGGCGGGUGAGUAAUGCCUAGUAAUCUGCCUGGUAGUGGGGGAUAACGUCCGGAAACGGGCGCUAAUACCGCAUACUAUCAGAUGAUCCUAGGUCGCGUUAGCUAGUUGGUGGGGUAAAGGCUUACCAAGGGGCCGAUCCGUAUCUGGUCUGAGAGGAUGAUCAGUCACACUGGAACGGAGACACGGUCCAGACUCCUACGGGAGGCAGCAGGGGGGAAUAUUGGAGAAUGGGCGAAAGCCUGAGCCAGCCAUGCCGCGUGUGUGAAGAAGGUCUGCGGAUUGUAAAGCACUUUAAGUUGGGAGGCGUUACCAACAGAAGAAGCACCGGCUAACUUCGUGCCAGCAGCCGCGGUAAUAC